UUGGAUCCAGACUUUGAUCAUGGCUCAGGAUGAACGCUAGCUACAGGCUUAACACAUGCAAGUCGAGGGGAAACGAUAGAGAAAGCUUGCUUUUUCUAGGCGUCGACCGGCGCACGGGUGAGUAACGCGUAUCCAACCUGCCCAUCACUUGGGGAUAACCUUGCGAAAGUAAGACUAAUACCCAAUGAUAUCUCUAGAAGACAUCUGAAGGAGAUUAAAGAUUUAUCGGUGAUGGAUGGGGAUGCGUCUGAUUAGCUUGUUGGCGGGGUAACGGCCCACCAAGGCGACGAUCAGUAGGGGUUCUGAGAGGAAGGUCCCCCACAUUGGAACUGAGACACGGUCCAAACUCCUACGGGAGGCAGCAGUGAGGAAUAUUGGUCAAUGGGCGAGAGCCUGAACCAGCCAAGUAGCGUGCAGGAUGACGGCCCUAUGGGUUGUAAACUGCUUUUAUAAGGGAAUAAAGUGAGCCUCGUGAGGCUUUUUGCAUGUACCUUAUGAAUAAGGACCGGCUAAUUCCGUGCCAGCAGCCGCGGUAAUACGGAAGGUCCGGGCGUUAUCCGGAUUUAUUGGGUUUAAAGGGAGCGUAGGCCGGAGAUUAAGCGUGUUGUGAAAUGUAGAUGCUCAACGUCUGCACUGCAGCGCGAACUGGUUUCCUUGAGUACGCACAAAGUGGGCGGAAUUCGUGGUGUAGCGGUGAAAUGCUUAGAUAUCACGAAGAACUCCGAUUGCGAAGGCAGCUCACUGGAGCGCAACUGACGCUGAAGCUCGAAAGUGCGGGUAUCGAACAGGAUUAGAUACCCUGGUAGUCCGCACGGUAAACGAUGGAUGCCCGCUGUUGGUCUGAAUAGGUCAGCGGCCAAGCGAAAGCAUUAAGCAUCCCACCUGGGGAGUACGCCGGCAACGGUGCAACUCAAAUGAAUUGACGGA
rnacentral:rRNA from 2 species